rnacentral:lncRNA from 1 species
UUUCAAGAGAUAAAAAGAGACAGAAUGUCGUCAUCAUCAUCGAUUUUGACGCCGACACAGAAGAGCGCGGCUGGAGCUCUGUUUGAGCUGGCGCUGCAUCAGGCUCAAAUCCACCAGACUCAUCCAUUGGGCUUUUCCUCUGUUGACAACGACGGCCGCUCGUGGGAGGACCUAGUGAGCAGUGCCGACUCCGUUUCGGAGGAUUCCCAGCUUUGGGUCCACGAGUCCUCAUGCCUCUUCGCCCAAUUUUCAAGUAAUCGUUUCCUACUCUUGAUAACCUGUGUGUGUAUAUACCUGGCCAUGCAUGCAUGGAAGUGUUGCUUGCGGGUCUGUCAGUUUUCUUAUGCAGUUGCAAAAAUUAUGCGGGUUUAGUUAGGGAUAACAAAUUACAGUGGCAAACUUUCAUUUGAGGCUGAUAACUGAACAGAUUUCUAGAAAUUGAUAACAAAGCUUGGUCUGGACUCGAGGAAACUUUUGUAUCUUCACCACCAAAGUAUCAUGUAGGAGAGGUAAGUUCUUUACCUUCUUUUUGUUGGAAAAUUGCUGCAUAAAUUAUUGAUAUACAAAUUACGGGAAAGAUUUUUGACUUACCGAAAUCAUAAUAUGUGCAUGAAAUUAAUGUUGGAAAAAAUUGGGUUUUAAUUAAUUGGUUUGACCAACUUUUGACCAAUUAAUUUAGUGGGCCCCGUUAAUCGGAUAUAAGAUUUCUUUGGCCGAAUGUGUUCUACUCCAUGAGUAGAUUAAUAUGGUAUAUUUAUUUUCUCAAAACCAAUUUAGGGUGAAUGAGAACCUACUUGAUGUUGAAAUAAAAUAGGUGAAAAAUUGGAAAAUACCAAUUCCACUUAGGAAAACUAGAAGAAUAUAAACCACUUUAUAUAGCUCAAGUUUGGGAUUUGGGUUUGGGUCCCACGGGGUACCAAUAGUCUUUGAGGGGGAGAGAACCUACAUGCUAGUAGGUUAAGCCAAAGCCCACACGCGCGUGUCGCCGCCGUCCGUCCGACCGGCCAGCUUGGGCCAAGCUGAUAUAUAUUUUUUGAUAAAAUAACAUUUGAAUUAUAUUAUUUUAUUAUUAUUUAAUAAUAAUAAUAUAUUUUUUAUGUUAUUAUUUUUUCUUCCCCUAAUUUUCUGUAUUUGACACGUGGUGCUUCUAGAAUUUGGCGGUUGAAUGUCUAAUCGGUUGUGGCGGUUGACUGUCCAAACUGUUUGUGUCUUUUGGACACAGCUUUUCGACAGUUGUGUCUGUUGGGACACAACCUUUCAACAUCUAUAUAUAGGCCCCCAUACCCCGAUUUUAAUUCAUUCUAAAAUCAGAAUUGAUUUUCUACUCUCCCGAAAUUAUCCCAUUGUCCCUGCAUCAUUUCUGUUUUUAUAAUUCAGUCCUCAAAAAUUAUUUUCAUGCAUUUUAGUCAUCUUAUGUGUGUGGAGAGAUCUAAACUUUACGGGUUCAUCGGGUCUUGUAAUUUGGAGUACUACUAUUACAAAAUGAGGUCGUUGUAUCUUGGAAAACGAGUGCUGCAAUACCAUCAGUACCAGUUCAGGACAUUAUCGUUUUAAGGAGAAAGAGUCGAACUCUUGCCUCGACCAUUCAAAACCAUCCAAACGUCGUUACUUUGCCCAAAUAUACAUUACGGUGACACUAUUAUUUGCCUAUAUUAUUCAACAAUCUUAAAAUGAUAAUGGCAAGUACGUCUGUUGUACCCCCUAGUACGUCUGUCGUACCCCUUAACAUGCUCACGGGGAGAAACCGAAAAAAUUCACGGGAGUGGAUUUGAAGAGAUGGCAACAGAAAAUGUUGUUCUAUCUCACGACUCUGAAUCUAGUCAAAAUCUUGAGAGAAGAUGCUCCAACUGUUGAGGAGAAGGAAACAGAUUCUCGAAAACGAGCAGCAUUCGAUACUUGGAGUCAUAGUGACUUCUUGUGCAGAAAUUACAUCCUCAAUUGCCUUGACAACACACUAUACAACGUAUACUGUUCCGUCAAAACGGCUAAAUUACUAUGGGAGUCAUUGGAAAAGAAGUACAAAACAGAAGAUGUCGGAUUGAAGAAAUUCGUUGUAGGCAAAUUCCUGGACUUCAAAAUGGUAAAUUCUAAAACAGUAAUGACUCAAGUCCAAAAGAUACAACUUAUCUUGCACGAUAUACAUGCAGAAGGCAUGAAACUCUGUGAACCAUUUCAGGUAGCUGCAAUUAUCGAAAAAUUGCCACCAAUGUGGAAAGAUUUCAAGAACUAUCUGAAACAUAAACGCAAGGAAAUGGAAUUUGAAGAUUUGAUUGUUAGAUUAAGAAUUGAGGAAGACGUUCAAAAUGCUGAAAAGAAGUCUGGAAAGCAACAAAUGGAGGCUAAAGUUAAUUUGGUGGAGCCAAAUACUAGCAAGAAAAGGAAGCACCCGAAUAAUGGCAAGCAAAAGAGCAAGGCCAAGAAAUUCAAAGGAGAUUACCAUAACUGCGGUAAGCCUGGUCAUAUUACAAAGGACUGUCGGCAGAAAAAGCAAAACAAAAAGGACCAAAUGCACUUGACUGAAGAAGACAGACUGUCUAACGGAGUGUUUGAACUAAUGCUCUCGGAUGUUGUAUUUGAAGCAAACAUAGUGGAUAAUCUGAGAGAAUGGUUUGUUGAUACUGGCGCUACUCAUCACAUUUGUGCGGAUAAGGAGAUGUUUUCAUCUUACACUCCUAUCAAUGGAUGACAAUUUUUCAUGGGCAACUCAGCAACAUCAAAAGUUAUUGGUCUAGGUAAAGUAGUGCUGAAGAUGACAUUAUGGAAAGAAGUAACACUCAUCGAUGUGCUGCAUGUUACCGAUAUUCGCAAAAACUUGGUAUCCGGAGCUCUGUUAAGCAAGAAUGGGUUUAGGCUGGUAUUUGAAUCUGACAAGUUUCUACUCACCAAAAAUGGCAUGUUUGUAGGCAAAGGGUUACUUAGCCAAUGGGCUAUUCAAAUUGAAUGUAAUGUCUGUACUCCGUGAUUUUGAUAUUAAUAAAAAUAAAUCUUCUGCUUACUUGAUUGAGUCUUCUAAUUUAUGGUAUGAUAGGUUAGGACAUGUAAAUGUUAAUACUUUACGAAGAUUAGUAAGUUUAGAUUUAUUUCUUUCUAUGUCCUUUGAUCAAAAUCAUCGAUACGAAAAUGUGUAGAGGCUAAAUUAGUGAAAACACCGUUUCAUUCAGUUGAAAGAACUCGAAUCCUCUAGAACUAAUUCACAGUGAUAUUUGUGAUUUAAAAUUUUUGCAAACUAGAGGAGGUAAAAAGUAUUUUAUUACUUUUAUAGAUGAUUGCACAAGGUAUUGUUAUGUCUUUUUGCUAAGGAGUAAAGACGAGGCUUUAGAAGCAUUUAAACAGUACAAGAAUGAGGUUGAGAAUCAACUAAGCAAACGAAUAAAAAUUGUUCAUAGUGAUAGAGGUGGGGAAUAUGGAGCACCGUUUGAUGAAUUUUGUUCAGAUUAUGGGAUUAUUCAUUAAACUACAGCUCCUUAUUCACCUCAAUCAAACGGUAUUGUGGAACGCAAGAAUCGUACUCUAAAAGAGAUGAUGAACGCUAUGUUGGUUAGUUCUGGUUUACCACAAAAUUUGUGGGGGGAAGUAAUUCUCUCAGCUAAUCACAUUCUAAAUAAAGUACCACACAAAGGUAGAAACGAAACUCUUUAUGAGGUAUGGAAAGGUCAUAAACCUUCGUACAACACUUAAAAGUGUGGGGGUGUUUGGUUAAGGUACAAAUACCAAAGCCUAAACAUGUUAAAAUAGGGCUUAAAACCAUCGAUUGCAUAUUCAUUAGAUAUGCUAAUAACAGUAGUGCUUAUCGGUUCCUCAUACAUAAGUCUGACAUUCCGGAUAUACAUGAAAAUACUAUCAUUGAAUCUAGGAAUGCUGUAUUUUUUGAUGACAAGUUUCCUUGUAAAGAUAGGCAAGAAAUAAGCCCAUAAAAACGAACUUAUGAUUCUGCAAUUAGUAAUCCUCAAAGUGAUGAAGAACCAAGAUGCAGUAAAAGAACCAAAACAUCUACAUCUUUUGGUCCAGAUUUUUUAACUUAUAUAUUAGAAAAUGAACCUAGGACAUUCAAUGAAGCAAUGUCUAGUCUAGAAACUCCAUUCUGGAAAGAGGCUAUCAAUAGUGAAAUUGGUUCUAUUAUGUAGAAUCAUACCUGGAAAUUGGUAGAUCUCCCACCUGGUAAUAAACCAUUAGGUUGUAAAUGGAUUUUCAAAAGAAAAUUAAAGACUGAUGGAUCAUUUGAUAAAUACAAGGCCAGAUUGAUAGCUAAAAGAUUCAAACAAAGGGAAGGCCUUGAUUUUUUCGAUACAUACUCACAUGUGACAAGGAUAACAUCAAUUAGAGUAUUAAUUGCAAUCACAGCAUUGCAUAGUUUGGGAAUCCAUCAGAUGGACGUCAAAACGGCUUUCUUAAAUGGUGAGUUAGAAGAAGAAAUUUGCAUGGAACAACCCGAAGGGUUCAUCGCUCCUGGACAGGAGAAAAAUGUGUGUAGACUCGUCAGAUCAUUAUAUGGACUAAAACAAGCGCCAAAACAAUGGCAUGCAAAAUUUAACAAAACUAUGUGUCAAAUGGUUUUAAGAUUAACGAAUGUGAUAAAUGUGUUUAUAUUAAAACCACACCUAAUGCAUAUGAAAUUGUAUGUCUAUACGUUGAUGACAUGUUAAUUGUGGGUAGUAGUUAUGAUAUGAUAACAAAUACUAAGAAAAUGUUGACAAAACAUUUUGACAUGAAAGAUAUGGGUAUUGCAGAUGUAAUAUUAGGAAUAAAAAUUCUUAAAACAUCUGAGGGACUUAUAAUGUCUCAAUCUCACUAUAUUGAGACUGUACUUAAAAAGUUUAAUAUGUAUGAUGAUAGUCCAGUUAAAAUACCAGUAGACUUAAGUCUACAUUUGGCCAAACAUAAGGGCGAAACCGUAUCUCAAUUAGAAUAUUCUCGGAUAAUAGGCAAUUUAAUGUACAUUACAAACUGCACUCGUCUGGAUAUUACAUGUGCAGUAAACAAACUUAGUAGAUAUACAAGUAACCCAAAUAAUGACCAUUGGAAAGCACUGGUAAGGGUUCUUAGAUAUCUACGAUACAUCUCAAAUGUUGGAUUACAUUAUACGAGAUAUCCAACUGUAUUAUAAGGAUACAGUGAUGCUAAUUGGAUAUCAGAUACAAAAGACUCAAAAUCCACUAGUGGGUAUGUUUUUACCAUUGGUGGUGCGGCGGUAUCUUGGAAAUCCUCUAAAUAAACAUGUAUAGCUCGAUCUACAAUGAAAUCUGAAUUCAUAGUUUUAGAUAAAGCUACAGAGGAAGCAGAAUGGCUUCGAAAUUUUUUAGAGGAUAUUCCAUGUUGGCCUAAACCUGUGCCUGCAAUUAGUAUACAUUGUGAUAGUCAGUCGGCCAUCGGUAGAGCACAAAGUAGUAUGAUAAUGGUAAGUCUCGACAUAUUCGUCGAAGACAUAAUAUAGUUAAGCAGCUUAUCUCAAAUGAUGUUAUUUCCAUAGAUUUUUUAAAGUCCAGAGAAAAUCUUGCGGAUCCGCUUACCAAAGGCUUACCAAGAGAUCAAGUAUACUGCCUAUCAAGGGAAAUGGGCUUAAAGCCUACUACAUAAGAAUCUUUGUAAUGGUAACCUAACCUUGCUGACUAGAGAUCCCAAAAUCUCGGUUCAAUGGGACAACUAAGUUAUGAAAAUUCAAUAAGCACUUCGGAGUUAACUCCUACCCAUUCCUAUGAUAAGGAAGUGCUAUGUGCAGAAAGUUUUAGGUUAAGUUAUACUUUUAAUGAUUCCUAUAUCUUGGACUACCUAAGUGGAGUAUGGCAGGUACUCUUAAUAGGAGAUCAACUAUACAAGUGUGAAGUGUGGCCGCUUCUAUGAGAAUGUUUCAAAGGUUUGAAUUCUCUAAAGUACUUAUGAAAUCGAAGAGUUGUUCAGGGCCAAAAUGAACACAACAGUGAGAACUCGAAAAUGUUAGGAAGGUUAUUGUGUUGCUACUAUUGUCUUGGUUUACAAAAACAGCUGACAAUUCAAGACACCGCGUUCACUGAUUAGCCAAAUAAAUCCGAUAGUAUUCUACUACGGAAGGUUCAAACCCAUAAGGUACUUAUCCAGAUGCGAUAACAUUCCGCCUGAUCUCUCUAUAGGGUCUGCAUAUUCUAUUGCAUUAAUUUCCAUUCAUGUGGGGGAUUGUUGGAAAAAAUUGGGUUUAAAUUAGUUGGUUUGACCAAUUUUUGACCAAUUAAGUUAGGGAGUCCCGUUAAUCGGAUAUAAGAUUUCUUUGGUCGAAUGUGUUCUAAUCCAUGAGUAGAUUAAUAUGAUAUAUUUAUUUUCUCAAAAUCAAUUUAGGGUGAGUGAGAAAUUAAGGCCAAAAGAUGCCCACUUGAUAUUGAAAUAAAAUAGGUGAAAAAUUGAAAAAUACCAAUCCCACAUAGGAAAACUAGAAGAAUAUAAAUCACUUUAUAUAGCUCAAGUUUGGAACUUGGGUUUGGGCCCCAAGGGGUACCAACAGUCUUUGAGGGGGAAAGAACCUACAUGCUAGUAGGUUCAGCCAAAGCCCACACACGCGCAUAUAUAUUUUUUGGUAUAAUAACAUUUGAAUUAUAUUAUUUUAGUAUUAUUAUUUAAUAAUAAUAAUAUAUUUUUUAUGUUAUUAUUUUUUCUUCCCCGAAUUUUCUGUGUGUGACACGUGGUGCUUCUAGAAUUUGGCGGUUGAAUGUCUAAUCGGUUGUGGCGGUUGACUGUCCAAGUGACGGUUGACUGUCCAAGCUGUUUGUAUUUUUUGGACACAACUUUUCUGCAGUUGUGUCUAUUGGGACACAACCUUUCAACAUCUAUAUAUAGGUUCCCAUACCCCGAUUUUAAUUCAUUCCAAAAUCAGAAUUGAUUUUCUACUCUCCCGAAAUUAUCCCAUUGUCCCUGCAUCAUUUCUAUUUUUAAAAUUCAGUCCUCGAAAAUUAUUUUUCGUGCAUUUUAGUCAUCCAGUGUGUGUGGAGAGAUCUAAACUUUACGGGUUCGUCGGGUCUUGUAAUUUGAAAUACUACUAUUACAAGACGAGGUCGUUGUAUCUUAGGAAACGAGUGCUGCAAUACUGUCAGUACCAGCGCGGGGCAUUAUCGUUUUAAGGAGAAAGAGUCGAACUUUUGUCUCGACCAUCCAAACGUUGUUACUCUGUCCAAAUAUACAUUACGGUGACACUAUUAUUUGCCUGUAUUAUUCAACAAUUAAGUAAUUUAAAGUUUCACUAAAGUGUUAGAAAUUUUAGAAAUUAGAAGGAGAUAAAAUGAAGUGAGGCAUGAGAUUGUAAUUUUACCCAUCUCCCAAGACAGUGUUGAACCUAGACAUUUUCUAUUAUGGGAUCAAAAAUAGAAAUGCAAUUUAAAAAAAAAAAAAUAACAUUAAUGAAAAUAAGUCAAUACACUACUACAAUUGUAGCCUACGCAUAUUCAAACUGUAGAAAACCAAGAAUGGAAAGAAAAUAGAGACUGGAAAAAUUUGUAAUUGAUAGCAUUAUUGGUAGGAUCAUCUUUUCCUUACUUAACAGAUUUUAUUUUUCCUUUUUUUUCCUAUACGUUGUAAUAUAAAUAGGUUGUAGUAGAGGUGUAAUUACUAUCAAGAAAUAGAAGAGAAUUCUUGUUUCAUUCUUCAUUGUAUCAAAGCCUAGGUUCCCCUAACCUAGCAAACCGAUGGUAGAACUCCCCUUCAACUGCCAAGAAUCAAUGACCUCUGAAACUUCUCAUCCCGAAGCAGAGGCCAAUCCUUCUAUUGGCUCCAAUAAUCUCGAAAAUUCUUCCUUCCAACUCAUAGUAGAAAAAUUAAAUGGAAGAAAUUUUAGAGAAUGGGCCCAAUCUAUAAAAUUGGUAAUCGAAGGAAAAGGAAAAUUGGGUUACUUUAUCGGCGAUACAAAAAGGCCAUACGAUGCUGCGAGUCUGCAGAAGUUGAAAUUUGAGAAUUCAAUGGUGAUAGCAUGGCUUGUCAAUUCCAUGAAGCCUUCAAUAGGGAAAACUUACCUCUUUCUUCCAACAACCAAAGACACGUGGGACGUUGUGAAAGAAACAUACUCCAAUGCUGAAGGCGCAUCAUAAAUUUUCGAAAUCAAAACCCGUUUGUGGCAAACAAAGCAAGGAUCGAGGGAUGUUAUUGAAUUGUACAUGGAUAUGGUGUCCCUAUGGCAAGAACUCGACCUUAGUCUGGAGGAAGAAUGGGAUUGUCCAAGUGAUUGUGAAUGGUACAAGAAAAAAGUUGAGAAUGAAAGAGUAUUUGAGUUCCUGGUCGGGCUAAACCAAGAACUUGACGAUGUAGAGGCAGGGUCCUAGGCCGGUGACCACUACCGUCCACCCGCGAGGUGUUUGUAGACGUUUGAUGAGAAGAAUCACGACGGCAGUCGGCAAGUCAUGUUGAAAGAUUCAUCUGGGAUGAAUAAUGAAAUGUCGGCUUUAAUUAGACAGCUUGGGCCACAGUUUUUCAAAUAAAAUGGGCCUGCCAAUCUUGUUGAAUACAUCGUUCGAAUAAAAUCAUAAAACCAACCAAAUCGAGUGAUUUCACUUCAUCUAUUCAGUUUUCCAUAAUUUAACAAAAAUGAUAAAUAAAAUAAAGAUGGCUAAUUUCGUUAACCAUAGGAAGACUUUCAAAACCUAUAAUUUCAAACAUUCUGCCAAAAUCAACUGCAAUGUCAAAUCUCAAACCCUCAAUCAUGAAUAAUAACAUAGAGAAGUAAAAGGAGAGAAAAUCAAAUACAAAACCAGUACAUCAAACGUAAUAAUUGAAAAUGUAAAAUUUCAUACUUGAUUGAAGAAUAGAUAAUAGAGAUUGGAUAUUGGAGAAGAAGGAUUUAUUUGGAUUGAAGAAUAGAGAUUGGAGGAGGGUUUAUUUGAGUUGUGUAUUCUAAAUGCGAGGAAGAAAAAGAGAGUUAUCAUUAGUAAAGACAGAAGAGUUCGGGUAAAAUUACUUAUUUUUGGGAAAAAAGAAGAAUAAAAGGUCAAAAAAUUUUGGGGGUGGAUCCGCCCAUGUCUCAAGAUACAACUUCUUCCAAAAAGAAUAUAGCACAAUACUAAUUUUGCAUGAUCGUACUUUACUACUUUGCUAAUUUUGCUUUAUGCAUACUAGAAUUUCGGAAAUUUUGAAAUUUUUUUUUAGCUCACCGAACAUAAUGUUUCUGACUCCACGAUAACAUUUUCUAAAGAAAUCGUAUCGGUUCACAAUUUGGACGAGGGUUGGUACCAUUUCAAUAUGCUUAGGCUUUGACCACCAGCAUUUGUGUAUCACGAUGUACAUUGUCAUAUCACUUUGAGUUACUACAAGAAAUUUGUGGUUACCGUAUGUUGUGCUACCCUAUGCUUAUAUGAGACAUAUGAUUGUUAAAUGCAAUUACAGAAGUGUUAAGAGCAGAUUCCAGAAUUAAUUCGCUUACAACAAAAAUUGCAUAAAAAUUAAAGUUGCAGAAGUAAAACAAUUAGAAAGACCGUAGAAAAUUUUUCGCCCUAAAGCAAGAGGUUCAGAGCAAGCGUCUAAUCCCCUUUUGUGCUUCCACCACUGGAAAAAUUACUGCAUUAAACUGAAACCAAUGAACCAUCCAAGAAUAUACAGAUGCGAGACUCAAGCCAGAAUACACUCAAGAUUACAUAUCAAAACCCUCACUAAUCAUCUAACAGUUCACUCAAGAACCCAGAUGCGAAAUCAGUAAGUAUAAUAAUCACUCAAGACAAAUGAUACAUUAUUUCUACUUGAAGAUUUAAGAUCUUCAAGUUGUAAACACAAACUGUAAGGGUUAAAUUCACGGGACUCAGAAAUCUCGAAGAAUGAAUGAGAGGAAAAAUUCAAGGAUCGACAGAGAGAGAACUCAAUAGUCGAAGAAGAUGAAAGACUGAAACCCUAGGAGCCAAGAGACGCAUAUAUAUCAGAAGUCUCCAGAAAAUCAUCAUCCAAUGGUAGCAAUGGUGACACUUGGCAUGAUCCAUAUCAUUUGUUCCAUUUCUAAAAGCGUGUUUUUGAGAACACAAUUUAUUACCAACUAAAUUGAGUCAGACAAGUCAAAAUAGGGCCAUCCAGUCAACAAUAGAUCCACAUCAUUGUGCCAUUACCUCACAAUCUCCACCUUGGUACAAUGACCCCAGUUUACAUGCAGUAAAAUCUCCAGACAUGAUAUCAUUUGCACUUAUUACCUGAUACACAAAUAAGCAAGUGUUAAUAUUCAAAAGAUUUAAACAAUCUAAAAAUUUGUUUAAAGUCGAAACCUUUGUACCAAUAUCAGCAGGAUUAAACUGGGUUGAAAUCUUUUCAAGUUUUACGGCACCUUGUGAAAUAACAUCUCUUAUAAAAUGGAAUCUAACAUCAACAUGUUUAGAUCUAUUAUGCAAAACAGGAUUUUUACUUAAAUGAAUGUCAGAUUGGCUAUCUGAAUAAAGAACAACUGCUUUUAUAAAUCGAAAUUCAUUUAACAAGCCCUUCAGCCAUAUCCCUUCUUUUAUGGCAUCUGUGGUAGCUAUGUAUUCUGCCUCAGUAAAAGAUAAGGCAAUAAUCUUUUGCAGUUGGGAUAUCCAGCUUAUACAAGAAUUACAAAAUGUAUACAUGUAGGCAAAAGUGGACUUUUUAUUGUCCCUAUUAUCAGCAUAAUCAGAAUCAGUAUAGCCUCUUAACACAACACCUUCAGGUUGUUUUCUGAACACAAUUCCCAAAUCAGAGGUACCCUUUAUGUAUCUAAGAAGUCAUUUCAUGGCUUCCCAAUGAGCUUCACCACGAUUUGACAUAUAUCUACUCAAUACACUUGUAGAAUAUGCUAAAUCUGGUCUAGAACAAACUAUAAGGUACAUAACAGACCCAACUGCAUUAGAAUAAGGCACUCUAGUCAUUCUUUCAAAUUCUUCUUGUGAUUAUGGACAUUGAUCAUUAGAAAGUUUGAAAUGAUUAGCUAAUGCUAAACUCACACUUCCAGAAUCAGACAUAGCAAACUUAUCUAAUAAUUUCAGCAUGUAUGAUUUUUGGCUAAGACUUAGUGUGCCUUCCCUCCUAUUUCUUUUAACUUCAAUACCCAAAAUUCUUCUUACUGGACCUAAGUCCUUCAUUUCAAAUUCUGAUUUCAGUUUGUUUUUAAUAUCUUCUAUCUCUUUUAUGUCAUGACUUGCUAAUAGCAUGUCAUCUUCAUAAAGGAGCAAGUAAAGUGAAUUUUCUCCACCACUUCCUUUACAGUAGAUGCAGGUAUCAAAGUUACUCCUCUUAAAACCAAGUCUAAGGACCAAAUUGUCAAAUUUUUUAUACCAUUACCUAGGAGCUUGUUUUAAGCCAUUUAAGGACUUUUUAAAAAGGCAAACUAAGUAAGCUUUCUUAUUUAUUUCAAAACCUUAAGGUUGCUUCAUGUAGAUAGUUUCAUCUAGAUCUGCAUUUAAGAAAACUAUUUUGACAUCCAAUUGAUCUAGUUCCCAAUUAAAUUGAGUGGCUAAGGCUAGAAUAACCCUAACAGUUGUAAAUUUUACAACUGGAGAGAAAAUUUCAUUAGAAUCAAUUCCUUCUUUUUGUGUAAAACCCUUUGUCACUAACCUAGUUUUAUACCUGAUGUCAUUAUCACUUUGUUCCCCCUUUUAAUCUUGAAAAUCCAUUUACAAUCAACUAUUCUUUUACCUUCAGGUCUUUUCACUAAAACCCAAGUUUUGUUCUUUUUAAGUGAUUGCAUUUUAUCUUGCAUUGCUGCAAGCCAUUGUUUAGAAUUUUUACUAUUUAUAGCUUCCUUAAAAGACUCAGGCUCAUUUUCAAUCAUACUUUGAUGGGAUAGCAAAGAAACAUCUUCUUCAAACCUAAUUGGAGGUCUUAUCUGUCUUCUUUGUCUAUCCCUAGCCAAUUGAUAGUUAUCUAGGGUCUGAUCAGUUUCUAAUUCGGCUUCAGUUUCAUCAUUCUGAACAAUGUCAUCAAGUAUUUCCUCAUUUCCCUCAUCAGGUUGAGCAUUAGUCUGAUGUGUUUCCUGAUCAGAUUGCUCCACCUCAAGUUCAACUCCUCUUCCCACAUUUUCAGUCUAACUUAAGGGCUGUAUUUUAUUUUCAGAUUUAAGAUAGGGCAGAUCAUCCUCAUUAAAUACCACAUUUCUACUAAUUAUGAUCUUAUAACCUUUAUUUUCUCUUACCCAUAGUCUAUACCCCUUCACCUCUUCACCAUAGCCCACAAAAACACAUGUAAGAGCCCUUGGUUCUAAUUUGCCUUCAGAUUGACGUGCAAAGUCUACAAAUCCAAAAACCCUCAAGUUACGGAAGUCUACUGGUUUUCCACUCCACUUUUCUUCAGGUGUAUAGCACUAGAAGGGCUUCUAUUGAUCAAAUAACUAGCAGUUUUAAUCGCUUUCCCCCAAAAAAUCUUAGGUAGGCCAAAGCUUAAGAGCAUACAUCUCACCUUUUCAAGUAUAUUUCUAUUCAUUCUUUUUGCCAAACCAUUUUGUUGUGGGGUGUGUGCUUCUGUUCUAUGUCUUAACAUGCCAGAAGAUUUGCACAACUCAUCAAAUUCAAAGUUAUAGAAUUCCAAACCAUUAUCAGUUCUUAACACCUUAAUCUUUUUCUCAGUUUGGUUUUCUAUCAAGGCUUUCCAAUUUUUGAAAACAUUAAAUGUGUCAAAUUUUGAUUUUAAUAGAAAAACCCAAUUUUUUCUAGAAAAAUCAUCAAUAAUUGAUAGGAAAUGUUUAAAAACCAGAAUGAGUUGUUACGAAAGCUGGUCCCCAAAGAUCAGCAUGCAAAUAUUCAAGUACAGUCGCAGAUUUAUGCAUCCAGGCAAAAAAGGUAAUCUUUUGUGUUUUCCAAGAAUGCAGUAGUCACAAAAACUAAGUUUUUCUAUGUUAUCUUUUCCAAAGGCACCAUGUCUUUUCAAAAUCUGUAGCCCUUUGUCACUAAUAUAGGCCAAUCUUUUAUGUCAUAUUUGUGACUUAUCAUUUUGGACUGAGAUUGUUGCUGAUGUUGUGUCCCAAAAGUUUUCAGUUUGUAAAAUGUACAGGCCAUGUCUCUUAGGGGCUUCAACAAUUACCUGUGAACCCCUUAAGAUCUUAAUGUAUCCCUUGUUAAUUAAAGUGUCAUAGCUGAGGUCAUCUAGAACCCCUAAGGAAAUCAGAUUUCUUUGUAAAUCAGGAACAUAUCUAGUUUUUUCCAAAACCAGUUCAUUACUUCCUUUAACUUUCAAAGUGAUAGUCCCUAUUCCUUUAACUUGACAUGUCAUAUGAUUACCCAUUAAGACUUUACCUCCAGUUACAUUUUCAAAAUCAGUGAACCACUCUUUAUUUGGACACAUAUGGUACGUGCAGCCUGAGUCAAGAAUCCACUCUUGAUAAGGUGGACAGUUUACAACUACAUAAACUUCAUCAAUUAAAGUCUCAUUGUUAUAUGCUAAGGCUGCACCACCAUCCUCUUUAGAUUUAUUUUUCAAAUCACCAAGUCUCUUUGGACAAUUUUUAAUGAAAUGACCCUCUCCAAGGCAAUAGAAACAUUUCUUUCCUUUGGUCUUUGAUUUCAUUUUAUCCUUAAAAUUUUUCUUUUUCUUGUGUCGAGGUUUCUUAUUGAAGUUCACUGAUUUUGGAUUAAACUUGGACUUAACUAUCAAAUUCUCCCCAUUGAUAGAUUCCUUUCUCUCAAAUUUUAACUCAAACUCUUUAUUCCUUAAGGCAGUAAUUAUAACAUCUGUAGUUAGAGUUUCCCUCCCAUAUUCAAUGCCAUUUUUAACAUCUUUAUACUAAUCACUAAUUGAAUUUAACAAUACCAUAGCCAACUGAUCUUUUGAGAGUUUCUCAUAACAGUCGGCUAGGUCACCGGAUAAUCUAUUAAAUCUAUCAAUAUUAACCUCAAGAUCAAGUGAUGGGUCAAGUUUAAGACCAAAACUUUGUUUUAGAAGAUACACUUUAUUUGGCAUAGAUUUAUUUAGAUGUGUAUCUUCUAACUUUUUCCACAAUUCAACAGCAGUUUGAGUCUCACCAAUUUUCCUAAGUACAUUAUCAGAUAAAUGCAAGAAUAUUGAGCUUCAGGCAGUUUCAUCAAGUUCAGUUAUCUUUAUCUCUUCUAAAUCAUCUGGCCAUGACUCAUUAAUAGCCUUUGCACAUUUUUGUUGUAAUAAAAUUGCCCUCAUUUUCUGGCGCCAGAGACUAAAGUCUCCUUUGCCGUUAAAAACAUCAAAUUCAAAUUUUGUAGUUGUCAUAAAAAAAAUUUGUUUGGAUGCAGUUUCAAUGCAUGCAGAUUAGAGACACACUUCAAAGUGUAUAUUCAAUGUACAAUACUUCAGAUUUACAUAAGAAACCAACUGAAUGUACAAUAUCACCUAUUGCAGAUAAUUUCAGUAUUCUCACGGAGUUUGAUUUACAAUAAUGCACUUUAGAGGAUCCCAAAUUAUACAGAUUAAGUACAGGUAAUCACAGUAUGCAAUAUACAACAAUAGAGGUCACAAACAUGUACUUAAAUGAAAGAUCUUUGACUUAGUCAAGACAACCCUCAUAUUCCAGACAACUCAAAAGGUUUCUAGACAAAGGAAUUGCCAAGAGAGUCUCAGAUCUGAAAGUUUUUGUCACGAUUACUAGUAACUCAAGGUAUAAGCAAGUACUCUAUAUAAUGAAAGAAAAAAUGGAACGAACUCACCGAAUAACUUAGUUAGGGUUUCAAAGAAAUAUCAAAUAUGUCAUUGUACAAGUGUUUAAUCUUUCAGAUCUGCAAGAAUCGAGGCCAAGAGCCACAGCUUAAUUGCUCUGAUACUACUAUUAAGAGCAGAUUCCAGAAUUAAUUCGCUUACAACAAAAAUUGCAUAAAAAUUAAAGUUGCAGAAGUAAAAAAAAAAAAAAAAAAACUCAUAAAAUUUUUCGCCCUAAAGCAAGAGGUUCAGCGCAAGCUCCUAAUCCCCUUUUGUGCUUCCACCACCGGAAGAAUUACUACAUUAAACUGAAACCAAUGAACCGUCCAAGAAUAUAUAGAUUCGAGACUCAAGCCAGAAUACACUCAAGAUUACAGAUCAAAACCCUCACUAAUCAUCUAACAAUUCACUCAAGAACCCAGAUGCGAAAUCAGUAAAUAUAAUAAUCAUUCAAGACAAAUGAUACAUGAUUUCUACUUGAAGAUUUAAGAUCUUCAAGUUGUAAACACAAACUGUAAGGGUUAAAUUCAUGGCACUCAGAAGUCUCGAAGAAUGAAUGAGAGGAAAAACUCAAGGAUCGGCAAAGAGAGAACUCAAUAGUCGAAGAAGAUGAAAGAGUGAAACCUAGGAGCCAAGAGACGUGUAUAUAUCAGAAGUCUCCAGAAAAUCAUCAUCCAACGGUAGCAAUGGUGACACUUGGCACGAUCCAUAUCAUUUGCUCAAUUUGUAAAAGCGUGUUUUUGAGAACACAAUUUAUUGCCAACUAAAUUGAGUCAGACAAGUCAAAAUAGGGCUAUCCAGUCAGCAAUAGAUCCAUAUCAUUGUGCCAUUACCUCACAAGAAGUGCUCAUAAAUCCUGACAAUAGAGUAGUGAUAUUCUAUGAGGUCCCAAGAAUUGUUGCGGUAAAUGCAUAUGAGUUCUAAUACCAGCCUUUUUCUUCUAUUCAGUUCCUAAGGCCUCUUGCAGAGGAAAGUAGUGGUAUGUCUUCAGAAGCUGCAGAAAAGGAACAUGCUUUGGCGAAUGGCAUAGAUGCCAUUGCUUCGAGCAUGGGAAGAACAUCUAUUGAUGAAGAGUCCAAAAAGGAGAUGCAACUUGAGUAUAAGAAUGUUUGUCUGGAGAAGUUCUCGAGUGCCGAGACAGUGUCCAAGUCUAAACACGAAGAGGAAAAAGGGCCUGACAAUAGUCAGAAGGAGAUAAGUUACAACCCAUAUAUCACUGAACAAGCACAUAUACAAUCCAGCUUUGUAUUUGAUGAAAAACAAUUGGAAGAGGUAAGUUAUCCAAGGAAAGUGGAAGUUCUAUAGGAGCUUCUUUCAGCUUGUCUGGCAGAUACACCCAAAGGCGACAAGAAAUGUACCAGGCAAAGAAAGGGAUAUGAUGCAAGACACCGUGUGGCAUUACGGCUGCUAGCUGCCUGGUUUAAUGUGAAGUGGAUAAAAGUGGUACACUUAUUCGUUAUUGAUAUAUUCAAUUGUCCAGCUAUAUGUUGUGCUAACCAGACAAAAUUUCUAUUGGUACUGUAUAUAGCAUAAUAAAUUGUGUUAUAAUGCUUUAAGUUGAUUGUUACGGAUAAG